AUUGAACGCUGGCGGCAUGCCUUACACAUGCAAGUCGAACGGUAACGGGCCUUCGGGUGCCGACGAGUGGCGAACGGGUGAGUAAUACAUCGGAACGUGCCCGAUCGUGGGGGAUAACGAGGCGAAAGCUUUGCUAAUACCGCAUACGAUCUACGGAUGAAAGCAGGGGACCGCAAGGUCUUGCGCGGACGGAGCGGCCGAUGGCAGAUUAGGUAGUUGGUGGGAUAAAAGCUUACCAAGCCGACGAUCUGUAGCUGGUCUGAGAGGAUGAUCAGCCACACUGGGACUGAGGCACGGCCCAGACUCCUACGGGAGGCAGCAGUGGGGAAUUUUGGACAAUGGGCGCAAGCCUGAUCCAGCCAUGCCGCGUGCAGGAUGAAGGCCUUCGGGUUGUAAACUGCUUUUGUACGGAACGAAAAGCCUUCUUUUAAUACAGGAGGGUCAUGACGGUACCGUAAGAAUAAGCACCGGCUAACUACGUG
rnacentral:rRNA from 1 species